AUGCACAGAGACAGUCCCACUCUCUCGGCGUUGGAAGCCUGGGUCCAUUGGAGACUUCUUCAGCUGCAUUGGAUGUCCCUGUUGUCUUUUGUGCUCCAUCACGCCCUAAGCACUCCACAGUGCUUUGCUGAGUCGCCAUCUCAGCCGUUGAACCUUCUUGUUGGUUUCUUCCACCUGUUCUGCCGAAACAGUCUUCACAUGCUGGUGUGGAAGAGACAUGGAGAGAGAGAUGAUUUGCAGGACAAGCCAGGCAUGCAGACCAAGCUGGGGACCUGAUCUGCAAAAUCAAGGAGACAGCCUGAGUUGUCCAUUGCUGUCCAAACAAUGCCAACAGAAGGCCCCCAACAUAUUGGAUGGAUCCUCUCCCUUGAAUAUUUAAGAGAAGACAUGGACACAUUUAGGAAGUGGCAUGGAUGGAGUAAUAAGUGCCACUGGAAUACGUGUCUACAUGGAAGAAAUUCCAGAGAGGAGUCAAUGCCUAUUUGAUUUCUGCCUUCUCAUUAAGAGCUUGCUAGAGCUGAAUAAUAGUGUUUGGCAACUUGGCUGAUAUGGGUUCAAAUCCCAUGUCCAAUAUUCCCUAGCUUUAUGAACAUAGUUAUCACUUCAACCCCCUCAGGCUUAAUUUCCUCAUUUGCAAAAUGGAGAUAAUUAAUUUUCACUUGUGACCACAUAGGGUCAUUACUAACCCUUACCUCAGGGAUCACCCUCAGCUUUUAAGAAACAUCAAGUGUUCCUGUCAGAAUUUUAGAGUUGGUCCCUUAUUUUACAUAGGAGGAGACAGAAGAGUGGAGAAGCAAGGCAUCUUGGGUAAGGAUACCAGGGAAUAAUUAGCAAAAUUAUGAUCUGAAUCCCCAGACCCCCAAUUCAAUUCUCCUUUCAUUGCCUUAUAUUUCUUUAUAUUCCAAUUCUCCAUUACUUUCAUAAACUUUCCACUUCCUCUCAUCCUUUCCCCUUCACAUUAUUGAUUCAUAGUCUCUUCUUCCUUUAUUCAGGGCCACCCACUCCCAAGUCCUAUGUCCAGCCAGUUCAGAUGGCUCAGGACCUCCUCUCUCAAUUGGCCUUUGUGGUGGAAAAAUGGAUGGGUACCCUGACUAGUUAGGGGAUGUGGGCACUGAGCUGGCUAGGGUCUCCAGAGGGGUGGGAGCAGCUUAGAGAGAAGAAGGGAAGAAAAUACUUUACUGGUAUUUAGGAGCUGAGUAAUAUGGGCAAAGGGGAGAUUUUCAAAUGUAGCAAAAGUCUAAGUGGGUUGAUGAUUUUUUGGAAACUGUCUUGGAUUCUGUUGGAUUCUUC
rnacentral:lncRNA from 1 species